GUUGCCAAAACAUUAAUUAAAAUAAUAGAGACAACUACAUUUAUUACUACAACAAAUAGCAUUUAGUCAUGCAAAACAAAUUCUUCUCCAAACCUCCAUAUAUUUUAUAGACCCUUGUCUCAUUUCUUUCACAUAAAGUAAAUGCCAACUAAGGGCCAGCCAAGCAAAUUACACCUGUCCAUAGUACAGCCCAUAAGAGACACAAGUGGAGGCAUGCAUGCAAGACUUACCACGCAUGCAUGCUAGAUGUAAUGUGUCUUAAAACCGACAUAGCUAUUCACCCCACUAUAAAUAGGAGCCAUCCCUUUCACUGGACCAUUCUACCUCACACACACAUACGCUGGAGUACCCCCACCACUUGCCUUUUCACCUUCUACCACACUGCUGUCCUUCACUGCGGUGAAGAUCUUUGGGUUGCAUGCGCCACCAGGUACAAAUCAAGUACCUUGUUGUGUUAGCCCUUCUUGCUUGAUUUCUUAUCUAUCUCCACCUCGGUUUGAAUCAGUCCAUAAGAAUCUAUUCACCUUGAUCUAUUUACCUUGCAGUAAAAAGAACAAAAUGUUUGCAUAAACACCCAAGUUAGUCAAAACUAAUUAGAUCAAUUGCAAAAGCUUGUAAAAGUUUAUGUGAAUGACAUCCGUGGUAUGUACUAGAUCUAACAUGCCAAGAAUCAAAUCCUAGGUACUAGUAACUUGCUAAGACAGGUAUGUAUGUAUCCAAAAGAUCAACCUUCCAGUGUAUACUACCUUGUCCUAUUUAUUAAUCCCUGCCAAUCUGUAGCAAACACUGAGAGAUUGAUGUUUAUAAUCUACUCACAAGUAAUUAUUAUUUUUGGAGUUUCACUGCCACUGUUUACUUCUAUAUGGUGUUCAAGGAUGAGUAGCACUAGUUAGGAACAUCAUUUAGAUCUAAUCAGUAGCAAUACCAUGACCACACCAUAAAUUAAAUCUUGAUUAAUUUCAUGGCCUUGAGAUAAACAAAGAGAAAGAAGGCAAUAUGGCUGAGAGGGGAAUAGUAGGGCCUGAGAUAAAAUGAACAAUAUAUGCACACCCACGUUCACAUAUAGCAGGCACUUGUUGUGAAAUUUGGAGCACUUCAUGGAGAAGGAAUUAGGAUUAGUACUUACCAGCAGUAGCAGCAGGAUGUGGCUAGUCCACACCGUUAGCAGCAGAGCCAUGGCGACCGAGCAGCGCCGGUGAAGCCGCACACGCCCGACGCCCAUGGCUGCACGCCUCGUGCGUGUGGCUGCGCUAGCGGAGGAUGUAGGCAUGGAGACGUUGUUGCCGCUGCAGCCGGUGGCAAGCCCACCAGACCUGGAUCAGGCGGCGCUAGGAUUGAGUGGUGGCGACGUUUUUGGCGGCGGCGGAUCAAAUAAAUAGGAGGAAAUGGUAGAGGGAGACGAGGGGAAUCUGUAGGUGUCCGCCGUGUCGCCGGAGAUGCCCGGACGGGGCAGAUCAAGGCGACGGCGGCCGUGCUCUGUUCUUGGGGAAGAGAGAGAGGUGAGCGGGCUGGUUCUGUUCGUGGGACAGCAGAGAAGAUGAGUAGUCUUUUUGAUAGACUCGGGCUGGGGCUCAACCCGCGUAGUACUAGUAGUACAAUACUAGGCUACUGUUCUUUUUACUUAUCAUUUCUUUUACCAUUCUUUGGACCGGAUGACAUACGUGCAUGCUACUCUGUUUUGGAUGGCUUAAUGCAUUUUAUCUCUCAAUGGAACACUAGGACGUAUCACCACUUAGUUAAUUACAUGUGGCUUGCUCAACAUGGCCGUGUUGCUGGAUGUUAGAUUUUUAGUUAGGAAGAUAAAUAAUAAUAUAAACAUGUUCCUGAAAUAAUUACCAGGAGUCGAUCUCGGACCCGUAGGAGCCACAUCUGGUGGUUCCGAGUUGAUCGAAGCACUAUCCGGCAAGUCGUCAUCUCCUUGACCAUGUCUUGAUAAAUGUUUUUCGGGCUAUGGGUCAUUUCAAAUUUUUUGCAUAAGAAUUAAAAAUAAAUAUUUUUCAUAAAUGAAAUGAGUUUUGGAUCAGGUGGAUCCACUGAUUUGGCAAUUGGAUCAGAUCAGGUGAAGUAUCUGUAUUAAAUAGUUGUUACCCGAGCAGGGUUACAUUAUAAAUAAAUAUUUGGUUGGUAGGGGAGCUCAUGUUGAUGAAGGCAACCUGGGUAGGGUUGGCUUGGAUGGCGGGCUCCUCUACAUAGGCUAUCACAUUAGGACACAACCAACUGGCGCUUACUUCAAAAGCAGCGCAAAUCGUACUGACCAUAGACCUGGAAUGGGACGGGCUGAACCGACUACCCAUGCCAAGUAGCUGCCUCUGCAUGGGUGAGAAGGUGGCUGUAGCCGGGUAGGUACAGUCACCCUAGGGCGGGACCGCCAUUCAGGGGUCUCGACCCGCGGGCCUUUAGUAAGGCAAGGUGGAAAAGCAGAGGUAGUGUACGGGCUGGUUAAAGGUUUUGGUUCCUUGGUCUAGUCGUGCGCACGGGUAGCGCAUGGAUGACUUGGACCAAGUGAUGCUAUGGGCAAAGCAGUACACCUCUGAUCAGAGUAAAUGUGAUAUCACUCCCAGCUUCCGGGUUUGGAAGUUCGUCGUGUGGGUUUUCCUCUAACACAGGAUGUAAGAUCCCAUGUCGCUCGGUCGCCAGUAGAUUUUAUAAAUAAAAUUUUGUUUUCAACAAAAAGGGUUAAGGGAAAAUAUUUUUACUUACAAAGUAUUUCUGAGCUAAUGGCUCACUGGUUGUAGCCGUGGCCGAUAAAGUUUUUCCUCUUUAAAGACUCAUGCAUCCACUUUUCCCGACGACUUGCGGGGUACGUAUUUUAUACGUACUCAGCUGCACUUAUCUUGUUUUUCAGAACAAGAGAGUUAUGAGAACUCUAAGGCGAUAGAGAAUGGUACUUAUGAUGAGUCUGGUCAUCUUAAUGACUUCGGUUAUUCUGAAGUGGAGUAUGUUUAUGAGGAAGUCAACAAUCAAGGCUAUGAAGAGUAGAUGCCCUUCAUGAUUGGUCUAGAAGGCUCGUAACUAGAAGUGGAUGACGAUCUAUCGUCAUGGUCGCUUAGGCUUAGUCGACACUUGAGGUGUCAAUGUAAUAAAAGCUUGCCUACUCAUGGCAGCCGCAUCGUCUUGUACAUGAUACUGUUCUCCUUAACUGAUCCUGGCGCAACUCUGAAGUGAUGGCUUCCGUUACACCUGACUCUGUCGGAUGUAACGGGGCGUCACAGAAGAGGUGGUAUCAGAGCAAGGUUAAGGAAACAGUCAUGUACUUGGUUAGAGACCGUCUGAGCCCUAGGAAAGAUAGGUUUCCUCCUUACCUAAAAUAAACUAAAAGUUUUCUUAAAAAAUGACUCAAGUCAAGGGAAGAUUAAAUAAUUUAGACCACACAAUUGUGCAAAAAAAAUGUGUUUAAUUAUUUAUUUACUGUCCUUGGUAAAAUUAAUUUUACACUGUGUUAUAACUAACUAAAUUCUUAAAUUGCUUAAUGUAGGAUGACGAGUGGUAGGAUGUUUGGUACGGGUGCUGAGUAUGGUGGUUUUGCUCUGUUCUUGGUUGAGCUUCUUGGUCUUCUGGGUGUGUUAAUUGCACCGUACUACACAGUGUUUCACGACCCUUGUUCCACGGGGUACUUAGUCACAGUGCACAUUCCUGAGAGCUUAGAUGUCCCUUCUAGGUACAGUGUUGCACGUUACGACUUUGUUUCAGCACUUCAGGGUGCGACACGGGAUGCCGCUUUACACCUUUUCCACGCCUACCACCCUCUCCUUCAGUACAUGGGCAGAGGCGAGUGGCCUCAUCAGCUAGAGGAGGCAGGGAGUUCGUCUGCACCUAUGCCCAUUGUCGCUCCUUCGCCUUUUUGCGUCCACUUCCACUUUCCCUCCACUUUCACCACGUCCUCCUGUUUUACCUCCCACAUUUUUACCACCACCAGCUUCGACUGCCGCUCGUCCACCUCUUUACCCGACAGUCCCACCCGCUCGUGCAGACCACCCAGCUCCUAGAGUUAUCAGGGGUUCCUCCUCUCGUGCAGUAUCGCGUCCCUCCACACCGUACAAGCGUCCACCUGCACCUUAGCUUGUUCAGGACCUAUUAGAUCAGGUUAACACUCUUCAGAGGCACUGUUCCGAGCUUGAGCGGGCGAACAACGAGAUGUCCACUGCAUUGAGGGACUACACCCGUCCGGGGAUGGCCCUCAACCCUCUUCAGAUCGACAGCUCACCUUCCGCCUCUCUAGGCCGGGUAGGGUACCCGAUUGACCAGGAGUCUCUUGUCGCCGACGAGCCCUCCUCUCAGGUUGCUCCUACUCUGAGUUCCGUUGUAGUUCCACCACCUCCAGAGCACACUCCCCACACUCCACCAGGUUCUCCAGCUACUGACCCUGCUCCACCUUCUCCCGAUGGCACCCCCGACUUGUCAGUGAUUGGCGUCACUUACUCAGAGCUUCUAGCACUCGACUCCCGCCAGGUGUCUUCUCAGCCCCCGGAGUACCUUCAUGUCGCUUCCGACGUCACACCCUCUGAGCACACUCCUUCUGAGUACCCGCUUAGCACCAUCAGCAUACCCGAGUCUGAUGCUGCCGCACCAAGUGUGUCUCUGCCUGCACCGACUUCUGCUCUCGACCCCGACUUGCUCCUCACCGUUUCACCUAGUCCUCUUGUCAGGGAGGAUUGACUUUCUACCAGUAGUAGUAGUAGUUAGUAUUCUGGCAAGGUUGUAGCAUCGUGCUAGAUAGCUACUCCUCCCAGAGUUAGUUCCGCCACUUAUUAGAUGUUUAGGCAGAUGCAUGGAGGCUGUCCUUUUAGAUCUUGUACAUAUCUGGAAAGGUCUUGUAGCCGUAGCUACCCUUCCAGAGUUUGCACAACCGUAGUUAGUCAGACUAGUUCCGACGGACAGAUAGGUCGGCAGGUAUACUUUUGUUCCAGGUACACGUGUAGAUAGCCGUGGUAGCCUGAUGAUGCACGACAUAGAGUCAUAUGUGGUGUUGCUACUAUGUUAUGUGAUGUAUCCAUGUGGGCUGGUGGACUUAUGGAUGUACUGAUAUUCUAUUACUAGAUGAUCUCGUGUGAUGCAUAUGCCAUGCCUCCAUAUUCAUUUUAAAUUCUAGUUCUUUUUAUGCUCCUUGCUCUGAAUGAUGGAAUACUGUAUGUGAUGUUGUUGCCACAUUGUUGCCAAUGCCUCAUAAUGGCGUCUGAUGUAUGGUAGAUUUCUUUCUGGUGAUCUCUUCAUUCAAGUACAUGCCUUGGUACAUCACGUGUUGGGCUAGUAUAUAUAUUAUGUGCUGAUGCUGCUACCCUUUUCCUAGCACUUCAUGAGUUCAACUGAUGUAUGUCAGACACUUGAUGAUUGCAUGCUUUUAAUCCAGUACAUGAAGAACUUGUGUGUGCAUGUGCAUGUGCAAGUGGCUCUAUUUUUGACUUGUGAUUAAUCUCUUGCCUCUGCCAUGAUAAAAAAAUCACUUUGUUUGACUGCUUUUAUUCUUCGGCCAACAACAAGUCAAAAAAAUCGCAAAAUUUUGUAGUAUGCCGCUGUUAAGUGCACUGUUUAAAUUGAUACUCCAAAACAAGAAGCGUGAAGUGUACUAUUUGAGCUAAAAUAUCAUCGCUAAUUAAACAAAUAAAAUUAUUUUACAUAAAGUAGCUAUCAUAAUAACCUAUGUCUUGCCCACCAGUUUGGCAGCGAUGGCAUCUGGUAAUCAGUCGUUCGAAGACAAUGGGAACCCAUUAGAUUUAGCGCCCGAGUCGCUAAGGAACAUGGCAGAUUUGCCGUCUAGAGUGACGUUACCUCCACCGCCACCAUUACCCCCUCAUGCCCCGGGAUCCGAUCAACUUUCUCUAAUGUACCAGUGGAUGGAGCAAUCUCGUCGAGACUCUCUAGAACACCAGAAUAAGUUCAUGGAACAGAUGUUUGGUAUGAUGAGAGGCCAACUGACUAAAAACUCAGAACAAGGUGUCACGAUUGGAGACUUCCAAAAGACUAGACCACCAACCUUCUCAACUGCCACACAUCCAUUAGCCGCAGAUGAUUGGUUGAUGGACAUAGAGCUGAAACUUAGCACUGUGGGAUGCACGGAUCAAGAAAAGGUUCGGUAUGCAUCCCAUCAGUUAAUUGGUCCUGCUGCCACAUGGUGGAGAAAUGUCCAAAUUAUCAUACCAGAAAACCACAUAGUCACUUGGGACGAAUUUAAGAGGAGAUUCCGAGAUAACUAUGUCCCGCAAAGUGCGAUGGAAAUAAAAAGGAAGGAAUUCCUGAACCUUAAGCAAGGGUCUAAAACCAUCGCAGUGUACCUAGAUGAAUUUAACUCACUAUCCCGCUAUGCACCAGAGGACACAAACACUGAGACCAAAAAGGUGUACCGGUUCAUAGAAGGAUUGAACCCAUCCAUACAACUGAUUAUAGCUCCUAUAAAAAUAACUGAGUUCCGGGAGCUAGUAGACCGAUUCAUUACAAUCGAGAACCGGCAAAUCACCAUAGAGGAAGAGCACAGGAAGAAAGCUAGGAUGGACCCAAGGUUUGCCAUGAAAAGUGGAAAUCGUCCUGUUGGCCUAGUCCGCGUGCCAAUGGCCGGGCCCGUCCGUCCUCCUUUCUGUCAAGCUCCUAGACCACCUUUUAUGCCUCCGAGAGGCCCUAUCAAAUGUCAUGUGUGCAGUGGACCACACUUGGCUCGAGAUUGCCCAAAGGCGAGUGUUGUUUGUUUUGGUUGUGGGCAAAAGGGACACUACAAAACCAGUGCCCAAGCAAGAGUCAACCACAAUCUGGUACAAAUGGAGCUGUCCCACCUCAAAAUAAGCGUCAGGCUAAUUCAGCCCAAGUACACGGGAAUGCGUCUACUGCCAACCGCGGGCGUGGUCGUGGCGGUCUCACAUGUGGACCAUUCCGCCUGGCGCAUAUGGAUGUGGCACAAGUGGAGUCGGCUUCAGACAUAGUGACGGGUAACCUACUAAUCCCUCCUGGAGUAGGACUAGUAUUGUUUGACCCAGGAGCAACACAUUCUUUCAUAUCGCAAUGCUUUGUUGAGACGCAUAAUCUAGACCGGACCCUCCUAGCCAAACCCAUAAAAGUAGAUUCACCUGGAGGCCCAAUGAUUGUUGAGCAUGUCUGCCACAACCAUCCCAUUUGCAUUGAGGGCAUAACCUUUAAUGCUAGCCUAUUUGUCAUUGGCCUAAGAGGGUUAGACGUUAUUCUUGGAAUGGACUGGUUAGCGAAUCAUGGAGCAAGAAUGGAUUGUGCAGAAAAAUCCAUAUCCUUGAGAUGCCCAGAUAAUAAACGGAUAACCUUUAAUAGUAGAAGAACCCAAGAAAAAUCAAACCAAGCCUCAGUAGCCACUUUGGACAAAAAGGAGGCUAAAGAUGUACCUGUGGUCCAAGAAUUUUUGGACGUAUUUCCGGAAGAAUUGCCCGGGAUGCCACCAAACAGGGAGAUAGAGUGCACAAUUGAUAUCAUCCCAGGAUGACAUCCAUAUCAAAACGAGCAUACCGUAUGUCCGCGGAAGAACUAAAGGAAUUAAGAAAACAAUUGGAUGAACUAGAAGAAAAGGGGUUUAUUCGACCAAGUGUGUCACCUUGGGCAGCACCAGUCUUAUUUGUUAAGAAAAAGGACGGAAGUAUGAGGCUAUGUGUGGAUUAUCGAGCCUUGAAUGAGGCGACCAUUAAGAAUAAGUACCCACUACCCCGGAUAGAUGAUCUAUUUGACCAAUUGAAAGGAGCCACCGUGUUCUCAAAAAUAGAUCUUCGGUCAGGGUACCACUAGCUAAAAGUAAAGGAAGAAGAUAUACCUAAAAUUGCUUUCAUAACCUGAUAUGGUCACCAUGAAUUCAUGGUUGUUCCCUUUGGGUUCACAAAUGCACCAGCAGUUUUCAUGAACCUGAUGAACCUAGUUCUCAUGCCCUACUUAGAUAAGUUUGUGGUAGUGUUCAUCGAUGAUAUUCUCAUAUACUCUCGAAGUAUUGAGGAACAUGCUGAACACCUCCGUAUAGUGCUGCAGACCUUGAGAGAAAAACAACUCUAUGCCAAAUUCAAAAAGUGUGAAUUUUGGCUAGAAGAAGUGUCCUUCUUAGGACACAUUAUAUCAGGGAAAGGGAUAGCCGUAGAUCCUGCUAAAGUGGAUGCAGUGUUGGCAUGGAAAUCCCCAACCAACGUAACAGAGAUUCGUAGCUUCCUUGGUUUAGCUGGAUAUUAUCGAAGGUUCAUAGAAGGCUUCUCCCAGAAAGCAGCCCCUAUGACCAAAUUACUAAGGAAGGGAGUUCCAUUUGACUGGAAUGACAAAUGUGAGCAAAGUUUUCAGGAGUUAAAGAAACGGCUCACAACCGCUCCUGUAUUGGCUCUACCUGAACCAGGCAAAGCAUUCACAGUAUAUUGUGAUGCCUCUAGAGUUGGUUUGGGAUGUGUGCUAAUGCAAGAUGGGAGAGCCAUAGCCUAUGCCUCUCGCCAGUUAAAGCCCCAUGAACAAAACUACCCCACCCAUGACCUCGAGUUAGCUGCCGUGGUAUUUGCAUUGAAGAUGUGGAGGCACUACCUUUAUGGAAACCGUUGUGAACUGUACACGGACCAUAAAAGCCUCAAGUAUAUCUUCACGCAAAAGGAGUUGAAUAUGAGACAAAGACGGUGGUUAGAACUCAUUAAGGAUUAUGACCUUAGUGUUAACUACCACCCAGGAAAGGCUAAUGUGGUGGCAGAUGCCCUUAGCCGAAAAACCUCAGGCAAUCAUGUCAAGAUGCCAACCUAUGAUAAGCAUCUGAUACAUGAGCUGGAGAUGAUGGGAAUUGAAUUCAUACAUAAACCGGUUGAGAAAACCCUAGCCACAUUAGCAAUCAGACCCAAUUUGUUGGACGAAAUCAAGGAAAACCAAACCAAAGAUGAGUUUAUUUGUGAGGAAAAGCGCAGAAUACAAGAUGGUCAACCAUCAGAAUUCCGAAUAGCGGAAGACGGAUCACUUUGGUAUAAAACCCGAGUAUGUGUGCCAAAUAUCUUGGAUAUUAAGCAGAUAAUACUCCAGGAGGCACACAACACUCCGUACACCAUACACCCUGGUAGCACAAAAAUGUACCGAGAUGUCAAGGGUACAUUUUGGUGGAGAAAUAUGAAAAGAGAAAUUGCUUAGUGUGUGGACGAGUGUGACACUUGUAAGAGAGUCAAGGCAGAACACCAGCGACCACUAGGCUUAUUGCAACCUCUCCAAAUUCCACAAUGGAAAUGGGAGGAAAUCCACAUGGACUUUAUCACCGGACUGCCCAAAACAAGAAAACGAGAGGAGAUCAUAUGGGUGAUAGUUGACCGACUCACUAAAUCUGCCCAUUUUAUCCCUUUAGCCCCGGGUUGUUCCAGAGAAAAAUUGGCUGAGCUAUAUAUCCACAGGAUAGUAGCUCUACAUGGGACACCUUCUAGAAUAGUGUCAGAUCGUGGAUCUAUGUUUACAUCCAAGUUCUGGGAAAAAUUACAAGAAGCAUUAGGAACAAAAUUGGAUUUUAGUACCGCCUACCACCCCCAGACUAGGGGUCAAGUCGAGAGGGUGAAUCAAAUCAUAGAGGACAUGCUAAGGGCUUGUGUGCUAGAUUUUGGUGACUCAUGGAGCAAGCACUUACCCUUAGCAGAGUUCGCUUAUAACAAUAGCUACCAAGCUAGUAUUGGUAUGUCCCCAUUUGAGGCCUUAUACGGUCGAAGAUGCCGAACCCCAAUAUGUUGGGUGGAAACCGGAGAAAAGAAACUCUUAGCACCCGACUUGGUCCAAGAGACCGAGGAAAAAGUUUGCAUAAUUAGAGAGCGGCUCAAGACGGCGCAAAGCCGGCAAAAGAGUUAUGUAGACAAGGGACGACAUGAUAUACAAUAUCAACCCGGAGACUUUGUUUAUUUAAAAGUCUCACCAAUUAAAGGUGUCAAGCGCUUUGGAGUACAAGGAAAACUAAGUCCGCGAUAUAUUGGUCCCUAUCGGAUCUUAAAAAGAAGAGGGACGAUGGCGUACAAAUUAGAAUUGCCAGCGCACCUACAAGGGGUUCAUGAUGUAUUUCAUGUUUCCCAAUUACGCAAGAGCGUAAAGCCACCAUUUGAGAGAGUCUCGGAGGAAGAAUUAACCCUCCGAAAGGACCUAACAUAUGAGGAGCAUCCUAGUCGUAUUUUGGACACCGAGGAAAAGAAGCUCAGGAGUAAAACAAUUAAAUAUUGCAAGGUGCAAUGGGGAAAUCAUCCGGUGCGAGAAGCGACUUGGGAAAAAGAAGAUGACCUCCGAGAAAAAUAUCCUUACCUUUUCGAGGUGCGACUUAACAAAUUUCGAGGACGAAAUUUUCUCUAAGGGGGAAAGGAUGUAAAAACCGUAAAUAUAUAUAUAUAUAUAUAUAUAUAAUAAAUUAGAUAACGAUAAUUUCAACGACGUUGCCAAAACAUUAAUUAAAAUAAUAGAGACAACUACAUUUAUUAUUACAACAAAUAGUAUUUAGUCCUGCAAAACAAAUUCUUCUCCAAACCUCCAUAUAUUUUAUAGACCCCUGUCUCAUUUCUUUCACAUAAAGUAAAUGCCAACUAAGGGCCAGCCAAGCAAAUUACACCUGUCCGUAGUACAACCCAUAAGAGACACAAGUGGAGGCAUGCAUGCAAGACUAACCACGCAUGCAUGCCAGAUGUAAUGAGUCUUCAAACCGACAUAGCUAUUCACCCCACUAUAAAUAGGAGCCAUCCCUUUCACUGGACCAUUCUACCUCACACACACAUACGCUGGAGUACCCCCACCACUUGCCUUUUCACCUUCUACCACACUGCUGUCCUUCACUGCGGUGAAGAUCUUUGGGUUGCAUGCGCCAC
rnacentral:lncRNA from 1 species